rnacentral:rRNA from 1 species
AUAAGCGGAGGAAAAGAAACUAACAAGGAUUCCCCUAGUAACUGCGAGUGAAGCGGGAAAAGCUCAAAUUUAAAAUCUGGUGGCCUUUGUCCAUCCGAGUUGUAAUUUAGAGAAGCGUCUUCCGCGCUGGACCGUGCACAAGUCUCCUGGAAUGGAGCGUCAUAGAGGGUGAGAAUCCCGUCUUUGGCACGGACACACCAGGGCUUUUGUGAUGCGCUCUCAAAGAGUCGAGUUGUUUGGGAAUGCAGCUCAAAAUGGGUGGUGAACUCCAUCUAAAGCUAAAUAUUGGCGAGAGACCGAUAGCGAACAAGUACCGUGAGGGAAAGAUGAAAAGCACUUUGGAAAGAGAGUGAAACAGUACGUGAAAUUGUUGAAAGGGAAACGCUUGAAGUCAGUCGCGUCGCCCGAGACUCAGCCUUGCCUCGGCUUGGUGUACUUCUCGGCUGACGGGUCAGCAUCAAUUUUGCCCCUUGGAUAAUGGCGAGGGAAAUGUGACACCUUUACGGGUGUGUUAUAGUCUCCCGUCGCAUGCAAGGGUCGGGAUUGAGGAACUCAGCACGCGCCUUUGGGCGUCGGGGCGUUCGCCCACGAUACGUGCUUAGGAUGUUGGCGUAAUGGCUUUAAACGACCCGUCUUGAAACACGGACCC